CGUACACUCCUACGGGAGGCAGCAGUGGGGAAUAUUGGACAAUGGGCGCAAGCCUGAUCCAGACAUGCAGCGUGAGUGAUGAAGGCCAUAGGGAUGUAAAGCUCUUUCACCGGUGAAGAUAAUGACGGUAACCGGAGAAGAAGCCCCGGCUAACUUCGUGCCAGCAGCCGAGGUAAUACGAAGGGGGCUAGCGUUGUUCGGAUUUACUGGGCGUAAAGCGCACGUAGGCGGACUAUUAAGUCAGGGGUGAAAUCCCGGGGCUCAACCCCGGAGCUGCCUUUGAUACUGGUAGUCUUGAGUUCGAGAGAGGUGAGUGGAAUUCCGAGUUUAGAGGUGAAAUUCGUAGAUAUUCGGAGGAACACCAGUGGCGUAGGCGGCUCACUGGCUCGAUACUGACGCUGAGGUGCGAAAGCGUGGGGAGCAAACAGGAUUAGAAACCCUUGUAGUCCCA
rnacentral:rRNA from 1 species